AGUGAACGUUGGCGGUAGGCCUAACACAUGCAAGUCGAACGGAAGCACAGUAAGAGCUUGCUCUUACGGGUGGCGAGUGGCGGACGGGUGAGGAAUACAUCGGAAUCUACUUUUUCGUGGGGGAUAACGUAGGGAAACUUACGCUAAUACCGCAUACGACCUACGGGUGAAAGCAGGGGAUCUUCGGACCUUGCGCGAUUGAAUGAGCCGAUGUCGGAUUAGCUAGUUGGCGGGGUAAAGGCCCACCAAGGCGACGAUCCGUAGCUGGUCUGAGAGGAUGAUCAGCCACACUGGAACUGAGACACGGUCCAGACUCCUACGGGAGGCAGCAGUGGGGAAUAUUGGACAAUGGGCGCAAGCCUGAUCCAGCCAUACCGCGUGGGUGAAGAAGGCCUUCGGGUUGUAAAGCCCUUUUGUUGGGAAAGAAAAGCAGCAGGUUAAUACCCCGCUGUUCUGACGGUACCCAAAGAAUAAGCACCGGCUAACUUCGUG
rnacentral:rRNA from 1 species